rnacentral:tRNA from 1 species
GGGUUGCUAACUCAACGGUAGAGUACUCGGCUUUUAAUUUAACAAGGAAGUUUUCUACUCCAUCCGACUAGU